GUAGGUGGUAAGCGUUGUCCGGAAUUAUUGGGCGUAAAGCGCGCGCAGGCGGUUCUUUAAGUCUGAUGUGAAAGCCCACGGCUCAACCGUGGAGGGUCAUUGGAAACUGGAGAACUUGAGUACAGAAGAGGAAAGCGGAAUUCCACGUGUAGCGGUGAAAUGCGUAGAGAUGUGGAGGAACGCCAGUGGCGAAGGCGGCUUUCUGGUCUGUAACUGACGCUGAGGCGCGAAAGCGUGGGGAGCAAACAGGGAUUAGAUACCCUGGUAGUCCACGCCGUAAACGAUGAGUGCUAAGUGUUAGGGGGUUUCCCGCCCCUUAGUGCUGCAGCUAACGCAUUAAGCACUCCGCCUGGGGAUACGGCCGCAAGGCUG
rnacentral:rRNA from 1 species